UCCCCCACAUUGGAACUGAGACACGGUCCAUACUCCUACGGGAGGCAGCAGUGAGGAAUAUUGGUCAAUGGACGGAAGUCUGAACCAGCCAAGUAGCGUGCAGGAUUGACGGCCCUAUGGGUUGUAAACUGCUUUUGUUGGGGAGUAAAGUGAGGCACGCGUGCCUUUUUGCAUUUACCCUUCGAAUAAGGACCGGCUAAUUCCGUGCCAGCAGCCGCGGUAAUACGGAAGGUCCAGGCGUUAUCCGGAUUUAUUGGGUUUAAAGGGAGUGUAGGCGGUCUGUUAAGCGUGUUGUGAAAUUUAGGUGCUCAACAUUUAACUUGCAGCGCGAACUGGCGGACUUGAGUGCACGCAACGUAUGCGGAAUUCAUGGUGUAGCGGUGAAAUGCUUAGAUAUCAUGACGAACUCCGAUUGCGAAGGCAGCGUACGGGAGUGUUACUGACGCUUAAGCUCGAAGGUGCGGGUAUCGAACAGGAUUAGAUAUCCUGGUAGUCCGCACGGUAAACGAUGGAUGCCCGCUGUUAGCGCCUGGCGUUAGCGGC
rnacentral:rRNA from 1 species